CCAGAUCUUGCAGACCUUUGAUGAAGUUAUUGAUAUAUUCUUCUUGAAGAUCUAUGUUAGAAAGAAUCUUCUUGAGGUUGGUAUGGUUUCUCUUCAACAGACCAGAUAUUUCAUUGUCCUUGUCCAUCACCAACUUGAUGGCUUUGCUCAAGUUCUCCUUGGAAAUCUUGCUGUUUUCUCCUUUUUCAGCUUCAACAGCAACCUUGAGUUCCUCUGCCCUUAAUCUGGUUUUCAGAACUUGAUCUCCUAAGCGGGGAAUCAACACAAUUUGGCAGUCACUGAGCAAAGAUUCCCACAUGGUUCUUGGACCACAGUGAUUCACGAAACACCCAAUAGAUGGGUGACUGAGUAACAGCUCUUGGGGAAACCAACCACCAUGCAGCAACCCUCUUCCUUGAAUCCUUUCUUGAAACCCCUCAGGCAAUGCCUCUUCAAUCCUUGUGCAUUCGUCUGGUGGUGUUAAAGCCACCAAGAAAGGUUGCCCUGAUAACUCAUGCCCAAGAACUCACUCUUGAAACUCCUCCUUUUGCAAUGUAAUCUGGCUCCCAAAUGCACAAAACACCACAGAACUUGGCUCAAAGUUGCUUAGCCAAUUAGCCCAUUUGUCUUCAAGCUGCGUGGCAUUUGUUUCAGGGAGGCAAGUCCCCCGUUAGCAUUACAGGCUUGCCAAAAUGUUGAGCAACAUAGUCACAGUAAGGUCCCUCAAUUUCACGGUGAGCCCUAAAGGCUAUGACAUCACUGUCAUUCAUGCUAGUUAUUAUCCGGUCCCGAAAUGACAAUCCUAUUCCAAAGAUUUUCAGCGCACUUGUCAGAACGGAAGCCUCUUCAGCUCUGAGUUUCACCUUGGAAGAAGGAUAACCAGGAGGAACUUCUAUCAACUCUUCUACAGUCAUUUCCUUUGUAACUUUCUUUGUCAAGAAAUAAGCGUGUGCGGCUGCAGUCACCACGGCAUAGUAAAUGGACUUGAUGUCGAUUUGGUGCGCCAAGGCUGGAAUCCAAUACCCGAAAUCAUAGAAAACUAUAUCAGGCUUUAUAGACCUUAAAAUGGCUUCAACUUGAUCUCGUGUUUGAUCAAAUGCAAUAGCAAACAAGCUAUGCAGUGGUAGAGGAACAUCGGAUGUAGUUUGGGCGCCUGGCAGGAUACCAUCUACAUGGGAAACAACAAGAGGAAAGAACUGAAUAAGAUUUGGAUAUUGGUUAAGUUGUUCCAACUUUGGCUGUGCUCCUUUAGGCAAUAAGAAGGAGACCUCGUGGUCUUUCUCAGCAAGCUUGUUUGACAGGUGAAGGAAAGGGAUGAAAUGGCCAAAGGAAAACCAUGGAAACAUGGCUACGUGAAGCUUGGAGGUGUUGGAGUUUUUCAUCUUUGCCUUGCAAACUGUGUUACUGUGACUGAGUUCAAAGGAAGUUAUAUAUAGGGGUAUUUUUAAAAGUACCCCUUAAAAGAUAAGAUACUUUUAAAAAUAACUCUCUUUAUAAUUUUAACUAUUUUUAGCUAAAUUAGAUAAAAUUACCCUUAAUAAAAUAACACGCUAUGUUGUUACAUGUCAUGUACAAAAACAUAUGAUACGCUAUGGUUAAGUUGUUACAUGUCAUGUACAAAAAUAUGUGACAUGUCAUGGUUAAGUUGUUACACGUUAUGUUAAAAAAAAAUACUGUUGUUACACGUCAUGUACAAAAACAUGUUACACGCCAUGGUUAGGUUGUUACAUGCUAUGUACAAAAACAUCUGAUAUAUCAUGAUUAGGUUGUUACUUGUCAUGUUAAAAAAAAAUGUUAUUGUUACACGCCAUGGUUAGGUUGUUACACGCCAUGGUUAGGUUGUUACACGCCAUGUUGAAAAAAAAUACUGUUGUUACAUGUCAUGUACAAAAAUAUGUUACACGUCAUGGUUAAAAAAGAUUAUUACAUGUUAUGUUGAAAAAAAAAUAUUGUUGUUACAUGCCAUAUUGAAAAAAUAUUGUUGUUACACGUCAUAUUUAAAAACAAUUUGUUACACUUUAAUGCCUAAAAUAUUGUUGUUAUUUACGAACCAAAACUUCAAUUCCUCUCAACUCUCUUCUUUUUUUUUGUUUUUUUUUUGAUAAUUUAGCGCCAAUUAAAGUGUUUAUAAUAUGUUUUCAUAAAUCAAAACAUAAAUUUUUUUAUCUAAAACACCUAUUUCAACUAAAAAUAAAAAAAUUUCUUUUGAAAACCUAGGUUUAUAAAUUUCAAAAUUUUGAGUUUAUUGGUGUUUAGGUCUCGAAUUGAUUCAAUUAAGAACUAUUUCAAACAUCUAAGAUCAUUUUUACCAUUUUAAUUUUAUCCAAAAUACCUACAAAUCAAAUUCUCUAAAUAGCUACUCACCAAAGCACAUCAAAACCAUUACUUGGUGUCUUGAAAACACAAGAAAGAAAAAUCUUAAAAUGAGAGAGAGAGAAAUCGGAAGUAUAGCAGACGAAUGUCGAAGAGAGAAAUUGAUAAAAUUUGAGAGAGUAGGAUGGUGAGAGAGAAAUCAGAAGCACAAAUGGAGAAAAAUUGUGAUGAAUGAUUUAAUUUAUUUAAAAUAAUUUCAAAAGUAUUUUUGUCAUGACUAAAUAUAAUUAAAAAUAAUUAAAUUUAUUUUAAUGAUUAUUUUUAAAAUAUUUUUAUUAAAAAAAUUUAUUCCUUAUAAUUUUCUCUUAUAUAUAUCAACAUUACGUGCCUGACAAAACUGCUAGAAAUUUUGUCGGCAUGGCCAAAAUGCAAGUCAUCAUAGUAAUUUGCCAUGACAGCAGCCAAAUUUAUAUAAGACCCUACUUGACUUGACGUAGACAUCCUUUCACAGCAGAAAAUGGGUGGAAUAAUUAUCAAAAACUUAAAAUUUUAUUUUAUUAAAUUAAUUAAAUAAGUAAACCGUUAUGUUAACUUUACAUGAAAUAAUUUAAAUAAGGUGGGCCAAGGUGGGGCUCCUUUCAAUGGUACAAAUGCCUUUAAUGAGAGGACACUCGGAAAUGAUCCCUUCAUCAAUAUGAUCCACUCAUACAAAGCCCUUCUUAAAUUAAAAGUCACUUAUGACAUUUGGUAUUACGUUAAUAAUUGAGUUCAAUGCUGGUAGGAGCUCAACAACUUGAUGUAACAAUAUUUAUGAAAAAAAGAAUGUAGAUUCGUGGUCGUAAACGUGUCGCUGGAUAUUGUGCAUUUAUUUGUGUUGAAUUAUUGAGUAAGAUGUAUUCGAUUAAUCAAAUGAAAUAGUUGGUUCAAAGUAUAGUCUUUCAUGUAAUUUUGUUUAACUUUAACACGUUUUUACUAAAUGAAAGUUCAAUCGGAUGAUAUGAGUUUCUAAUCAAUUCGAUAUCCAUAUUAUAUUAGUGCAAUCCAAUUCCAAAAAUUUUUGGGCUUAAUUGUCUCAAUAGCAGCCCCUUCAGCUUUGUAUCUCACCUUGGAAGAAGGAUAACCAGGAGGAAGCUUUAUCAGCUCUUCUACAGUCAUUUCCUCUGUAAUUUUCCUUGUGCUAUGCGCGUUUGCGGCUUUAGAGAACAUGAAAUAGCCAAUGGGCUUGAUGCCGAUUUGGUGAGCCAAGGCUGGAAUCCAAUUUCCCCAAAUCAUAGAAAACCAUAUCAGGCUUUGUAUGGCCCUUAAAAUGGCUUCAACUUGAUCUCGAGUUUGAUCAAUUGCAAUAACAAGCAAGCUACUUAGUGGCUGAGGAACAUCAGAUGCAUUUGUUUUGGAUAUGGCAAUUUCUGCGAGAAUGGAACUAAGGAACUGGGGGAUAUGAAGAAAGAAGUCACGACUACGAGGGAAGAGAUGUGGAGUAUGAAGUCAUAUCAACUAUUGCGCUGAUCCUCCAACAUGUGAAGCCGGUAACCAAUUUAGAGGCUUCAUCACAGUAGUCGGGCCCUUUUAAUAGUAAGGAGGCACGACUGAGGGACAAUGAUACUAGUUAGAUUAUAAGUUUAUUUAUUUAUAUAUUUUUUAUUGAUUGCAAUAUCGAAUAGUUUGUAAUUUUUUAUUUAUUUUUAUAAAAAUCAAAUAUUUUUUAUAAAUAUUAGUAUUUUUCAAUAUUAUUAUUUAUUUGUAUUUGCAUUAUUCAUUUGGAAUGACAACAAGAAUGAACAAAACCAAACAAUUUCAAUGGUCCUAGAAAAAAAAUGGUUUCAGAUACAUUCCACUUUAUUACUAAUGGAAUUACCAAUUGAUAUAGCAGUUUACCGACGAAAUUAUGUACAGCGUUAAUGAUAGAAUAAACUUCAUCAUCGGCAGAAAUGAAGACAUCAUCGAUGAAAACUACAUACAUUCGAACUACUGAGCUUCAUUAGCACUUCUGUUCAAAAUUCUGUCUAUAAAUUACUGGCAAAAUUUGCCGAUGAAAUGCUAUCAAUAUAGACCAAUCAUCCCUCCGACGGAUUGGAUGCUUUGUUGACUGAGUUUUCGAUAGAAUAUUCUGUCAACAAUUUUUCAAUGAAAUAUUCAAAUACUGAUGGCAUGCCCUUUACCGGUGGUGAUAUUUUCUAUGAAUUUUGAACUUUUAUCAACGGAAAUUUUCAUUGGUAAAAGUGUUAAAUUUGGUAGUGGAAUAGCACCUGAGUAUUGGUUCAUUGGUUGGUGCAUUAUCCCCUACCUAAAGAGUAGGGUUCGAAUCCCCUCUCCUUCAAUUAUAUAAAAAAAAAAUAGUAGUGAAAUAACUAUCGUUAGUCAAAAUGUCACUUGUUAUUUCAUGUCACAUGAUGCUAACAUGACAUGUUGAAAAAACAUAAUGACAUUAUUACGUGAUAUUUUUCAUGCUUUGUGUCAACGUCAUAUGAGUAUAAAAACUACAAAAUGACAUUUUAAUUAAUCACAGUUAGUCAAUCUUUAAUAAAAAAGAUCUAUAUGAAUUAAAAUAAAAGUACAGGUUUUUAAUUUAACGUAAUAAAAAAAUAAAUUUUUUUAAUAACUUAGGAUUUAUUGCAAUUUGGGUUUAGGUCUACAUUAGUUUAUAGAUGGGUAACAAUUUAUUGCAAUUUGCAAGACAAAUCUUUCAUUCCAAUUUGAGGGAUUCUUGACUGUUAAUCAUAUUCAGAUUUUAUUAUCAAGGAAAAUACAUCACGCACCAAUUAUUUGAGAAACCACUAACAUUGUUUAUUUAUUUAUUGUAUGGAGCAAUUAACAAUGAGUUCAUGCACUUUUGGACUUUUGAGGGAUUGGGUGAGGAGAGAUGCAUAAAAGAAAAUGAGAAUAUGAUGGAAUAAAUAUAGUUUGUUUUUUUAAUACCCCAACUCAAAAAUACGAUUACAUUAUUAUGUUUCCAAAAUCUUAAACUUGAUAAAUAGGUUUUAUUAAAAUUACUUAUAAAAUAUUUGAGCGUAAAAUAGAAUAGUUGUAUAUUAAGGACCUUUUAGCAAAUAGAGUGGUUUUAUUUUAAUUGGAGUCUGAUUAUAUUAUCAUGUUAAAAAAAAUAGUUAUAUCUUAUCAUAUUUUAAAAAGAAAAUCAAUUGAUUUUAUUUAAGUCAAUUUUAAAAAGAGAAGUAGUAAGACAAGUUUAAAGAAAAACAGGUAAAGUCAGUUUAUUUUAUCACAUAUAAGGAAGUUAAGGUUAGUUUUUAUUAUCAUGUUUAAAGAAAAGAAAAAAAAUACAGCAAAAAAAAUUAUUUGGGAGAAACUAAUCCUAUAGAAGAAGGUAGAAAAAGGAAAGAUUUGUUUAAGAAAGCAGUGAUUAAGGUAUGAUUAGGUUUUGACUUUAGUUUAUGUUUUUUUAAAUUUUGUUCAAAUUCGGUACUGUUCUGAUGACUUUUCAGUGGUAUGAUGGGUACCAAUGGAAAGGUCUUGAAAAGAUCUUUCCAAUGGUUUAUGUAGCUUCUCGUUUGGCUUUAUGAUUAAAAAGAUACGAACUUUUGAAGUUGAUUGGAAACCUGAUUUUAAUAGUUUUGACGAUCCAACUUUGAGUCAACGGAACUUCAUAUUCUGGUAACAUUUUGGGUUGUUUCUUUGAGGGCUUUUGCAGUAUGAAAUGAGGUGUUUAAUUUGGUGUCAAUGGCUUAGUUAGGGCUUCCUAAGUUAGGAGAAUUAAAGUCUCAAAAUAGGUUCGUUGAUAUUAAAAACCCAGAAAUCUGAGUAAGUAUGAUGAUUUCUAAAAUUUUGGCUUUUGAAACUUGAGAAUCUUGUAUUCUUUUUAAUCAAAACAAAUUUUGGCGUUAUAGUAUGAUAUGAAUACUUCAAAUUGGCGUUGAAUUUAUCAUUGGAAAUAAUUCGGGUUAAGAGUUAUCAGUGUUUGAAGUAAGCCAAAUGGUCAUGAAAAUAUGAAAUUUCAAAAUUUAUGAGAAUCCAUUUUUCAUUAUUUCAAAAAUUAUUCUUGACCUAUAUUCAACCUAUUUUGAUAGAAACUUCAGAAAUUUAAGCUAUUUGAAUUUUAGUGAAUUUUAUUUAUGAAUAAAUAUUUAUCUGAUAAAUUAAUUUGAAUUGACAUAUUUUAAAAAUUUUUAUUAAAAAUCUUCAGAUCUAAUUUUUGAUUUGUAUUUAAAAUAUUAUUACCCAACCUCAUAUUGUUACUGAUUUUGUACUAUAAUCUAUGAGUUUCUAAGUUUUGAAUAUUUUAUGUAUUUAUAAAUUAUUAAAGGAAUAAAAAUUGAUUUUCGAUCAGAAAAAAGAGGUGCUGCACCCUAAAUGCCUUAGAAUGACCACCAAAGAGUCGUGGUUCGUUUUGAUAGGUUAGCAAUGCUGUUUUCUAAUUUCGAGUAUUUUGAAUUAAUAGACUUCAAGAAGAUUUUAAUUCUUUGUCUUUUGAUUUUGGUUUUAGCGAAUCAAGUAAGUGACAAAUAUCUCUUCGGUGUUUUCAUACCCUAAAAUUUACCUCAAUGUGAUUUUCAUACUUAUAUAUGAUAUUUUGUCCUAUGAUUUGUUAAAUCGGGUGAGCAUGCUAAUAAAUGUAAGUAAAUAUGAUCUCUAUGCUGAUUUUUGGAAUAUGAUUUCGAUUUUUGUUUUGGAACAUAAGUUUUAUCAUUGUAUGCAUAUAUGAUUAUCUUUAUAAAUAUUUAAUUUGAAACGAUUAUGUUUUUGAUAAGCAUGAGAUAGUGGAUACACUAUUUUGAGAAAUUCGGGUAGUACAAAAAUAUAUGUUUCUGUUUUGUCUCCUAGUAUGGUUAUGUUAUGAUCCUGCCAAUGGGGGUUAAAUGUUGACCAUGUCGACAUAUAUUUUGUGAUUAGAAAUCGAUCUCCCAACCGCACCACCAGUUACAGAAUAACAGUAUUUCUGAUAUCUGUUCAGAGCAGCCAAUGAUUGCUUCUGAUAUGAUUAUGACCCAUGUCACAAGGGUUAAUUGUGGUUUCGAUACGAUUAUGACCCAUGCCACUAAGGUUAAUAAUGGUUUCUGCUAUAAUUAUGACCUAUGUCGUAAGGGUUAAGUAUGACCAUAGUAUGUUAUAGGAGACCAAUAAAAAUUUGAAAUUAAUGUGAAAUUAUGUUUUGUUCUGUUAUUUGAAAGUUUCGAAAUUGUGUUAGUUAUGUUAUUGGAAGCAAAAUUAUGUUUGCUUUUAUAAUUUAAAAAUAAAAUUUUGAAAUAUAUGUUUCUGAAUGAGAUUACUCAAAAUUUUGUUUUGACACCUAUAUAUGAAUUAGUAAUUUGGGCUUAAAUGUUUUGAGCAUGCUUAACCCGAUUGAAGAGAUUUCCGUUACUUACUGAGUGGUUGUACUCAUUCAAUUAAUUUUCAUCAUUUUACAAAUUUCAACAUCUUUGCAUGUUUGGGAGUUAGACUUGCUUGGCAAGAGUUUUGGUUAGCAAAAUUAACGUAUGCCCUUGAAUAAUUAUAAGCUUUGAUGUGAGUAAUUAGUUUUUAGUUUAUUAAGCAGAUGUUAGCUAGAUCAGAAAUUUUGUAUCAUUGGGGGAUUGUAUGUUAAUAUUAUAUUUUGAGACUUGAAAUUUUGUGAGGUGUCAACUUUGAAAAGAUUGUGGAGAUAUUAUAUUGAUUAAGUAUGAUAUUGUUGCCUUGCAUGCUUAUAGAAUUUGUCUCAUAAGUAUGUGACGUUUGUUAUGUUCUAAAACUUUGAGUUUGGAACGUGACAUUUUUCAUCCCCUACCGCUAUUCAAUUCAUUUAGAGCCAAGACAUUAGAGAUUAAGAAUAUUGAAGGAAAUUUACAAUGAACUUAUUGCAUUAUAUCAGAUUGGAAUCUGAUAGACAUUAAGAAAGCUAGGCACAAACACCACUAAAACAGGUUUACCAAACUCGGAUUCUAAAUUGGAUUCUUCUUCUUCUUUUGCAAUUUGGAUCUUAAUUAUUUGACCAGAUCUUGCAGACCUUUGAUGAAGUUAUUGAUAUAUUCUUCUUGAAGAUCUCUGUUAGAAAGAAUCUUCUUGAGCUUGGCAUGGUUUCUCUUCAACAGACCAGAUAUUUCAUUGUCCUUGUCCAUCACCAACUUGAUGGCUUUGCUCAAGUUCUCCUUGGAAAUCUUGCUGUUUUCUCCUUUUUCAGCUUCAACAGCAACCUUG
rnacentral:lncRNA from 1 species